rnacentral:piRNA from 1 species
UCUGCUGUGUCAGUUGAAGUUUGAGG